GGAAUGAACUUUGGCUUAAGUUUAUCGAUAUCAUGAUUCCAGUCGACCACAAUGGCAUGAUCCUAAUGAGGGCUUUUAGCUCCUCAACUUGCUCCACUGUGCAAAGGUUCCAUGAAUUCACUGCAGCACCAUUUGGCUUAACAUCGUCAGGGCUCUUAAUAAUGCAAGCUUUGUUUAAGAAUCUCAGUUUCUCCUUUUUUCGUUAGAUGUCUAUCCAUGGAUUGAGCUUGUAGUAAAGGGAAUGAACUUUGGCUUAAGUUUAUCGAUAUCAUGAUUCCAGUCGACCACAAUGGCAUGAUCCUAAUGAGGGCUUUUAGCUCCUCAACUUGCUCCACUGUGCAAAGGUUCCAUGAAUUCACUGCAGCACCAUUUGGCUUAACAUCGUCAGGGCUCUUAAUAAUGCAAGCUUUGUUUAAGAAUCUCAGUUUCUCCGUUGGCACUUGAAGUUCCGAACCAUUCUUGUGAUGGUAAUCAGAAUUCUGAAUAGGGUAUG
rnacentral:lncRNA from 1 species